AGAUGUUUUAAUUCAAUGAAAUAGACAAUAGGGCGAAAGGUAACAUUACUCUGUUCCCUCAACAACAACAGAUCUUCCAGUUGAGGGCAGUUUUGUCGGAUAUGGAAUGAACUCAGUGUGUGCACUUGGACAUAUGAAUAUAUGCACAUAUUUCUGCUGAGAAGCCCUUUAGAGAGAUUAGUGAAGGAGAAAAGCAAGAUAGAACUUGUGUUCAAAUUCUGAGGUUGCAGGUUAAAACAAGCAAGGCAAGCACUACUUUUAAAGUGUUUUCUUAACCAUCAGAAUACUUCAGUAUGAUGUCUUUAAAGCUGGGGAGAUAAGACUAACAAAACAGUAUAGAUUGAACUGAAAUUACGAUGCUACUAGUAUAUCACCAUUAGAACUUACAUCAUAUAAAUGUGUUUUCCAUUUUAUGUCUUUCUAUAACUCGUU
rnacentral:lncRNA from 1 species